AAUCAGAAUUUCCAGAAUUGGGGUUCAGAAAAGGAGCAUCAAGUAAGUAAGCAUCUUGGUAAUUCUUAAGUCUACUCAAGUUUGCAAAUCACCGCAGUGUCUUCUUAUACUGACAAUAUUUCCAGUACCAUAGUAGAUGAUUGCAGUCACAAAUUUUUUCUCUCUCAAGUUAUGCUAAUGUAAAAAAAGAAAAUAAAGAUUUUAGGUUUUUUCUUUGAAGAAAAGAAAUUGAAAUAGCGCGAAUGUUAUUUAUUAAGAAACCCAACACGUGAUUUAUUAAAUUCACUAAAAUCAUCAACUUGCCCCAAAUUCACUUUAAUUCACCAGUGAUUUUUGUCAGUUCAGGGCCAAAUCACCUAUUUAAAGGCGAAGAACACAGUAUUUAAAAUGAAGCAUCUAAACCUUAGAUUGCAAUUAUGAUGUGAAUAUUGUAUAUAAA